UAUUAUCUAUCUACCUAUCUAUCCGUUUAUCUAUUUGUUAAUCUCUCAAUUUUAUCCAUAUAUUUAUCUAUCAAUCUGUUUAUCUAUCUAUCUAAACAUCUUUUAUUAAUUCCCUAACAUAUUCUCUCUUAGCAACACACACACACACACACACACACACACACACACAUACACACACACACACACACACACACAGAGGAAAUACCCCCAGUGAGAGGAGAGGAAAGGAAGAGGAAGACAACGUAAGAAGGAAGAGGAGGCGGAGGCGGAGGCGUAGGAGGAGGAGGAGGAGGAGGACGAGAGGGAAGAGAAGGGCCAGUAAAUAGGACAGGCAGACAGACAGACACAAGCAUUAUAACACCACAAGAGGUUCCCGUCACUUCCUCGUCGCCAUCCGCCAGAAAUACCUGUCUAUUAAUCACAGGCGAGAUGAGAUUCGCAAGGUGGCACCACGACUCCCGUUUUCUUCAGCAGUUUUCAUUUCUUCGUUUUCUGUGGAGGAGGAUGAAGAAGAAGAAGAAGAAGAAGAAGAAGAAGAAGAAGAAGAAGAAGAAGAAGAAGAAGAAGAAGAAGAAGAGGAGGAGGAGGAGAGAAGAGAAGAGAAGUAAAGAAGAUUAUAGGGAAGAUGAAAAGAGAAGAGGAAAAGGAAGAGAAAGAAAAUAAUAAUAGCAAUAAUAAUAAUAAUAGAGACGAAUGAAGAAAACUAGUGAAAAGGGAAAAGAGGAAAGAAAAGAGAAGGAAAAAUAGAAAAAAAGGUGGUGCUGGUGACCCUUCCCUGAGUCUACACAGAGAGGAUAGACUGAAAUUAAUUGAUUGUGAGAUAUGAGAUGCUGGUGACCCUUGCUUGGAAAAAUGUACCGAAAAGAUGGAUUAAUAUAGAGAUAACAGGUGAUCUUGAAACUUCCUUGAAACUGCACUGGGGAUGGACCAAGAAGAUUGAUGGUUUAAACAGACACUUCAGGCAAUCACAGGGACUCAAGGUUUACUGAAGUUGGGUAAAAGUCAUUAGGAGAGUUUAAGGAAAGACUUGUAUGGGAUAAAAAUUAGCAGGAGAGAUAGGGAAAGACUUGUAUGGGGUUAAUAGUUGGCAGGAUGGUUUAGGGAAAGACUUGUGUGGGGUAAAAAAUAGCAGGAGACUUAGGGAAAGACUUGUAUUGGGUAAAAGAUGGCAGGAAAGUUUAGGGAAAGACUUGUGUGGGAUAAAAGAUAACAGGAAAGUUUAGGGAAAGACUUGUGUGGGGUAAAAAUUGGCAGGAAAGUUUAGGGAAAGACUUGUGUGGGAUAAAAGAUAACAGGAAAGUUUAGGGAAAGACUUGUGUGGGAUAAAAGAUA